AGCGAACGCUGGCGGCAGGCUUAACACAUGCAAGUCGAACGGGCACUUCGGUGCUAGUGGCAGACGGGUGAGUAACACGUGGGAACGUACCUUUCGGUUCGGAAUAAUUCAGGGAAACUUGGACUAAUACCGGAUACGCCCUUCGGGGGAAAGAUUUAUCGCCGAUAGAUCGGCCCGCGUCGGAUUAGCUAGUUGGUGAGUUAAUGUCUCACCAAGGCGACGAUCAGUAGCUGGUCUGAGAGGAUGAUCAGCCACAUUGGGACUGAGACACGGCCCAAACUCCUACGGGAGGCAGCAGUGGGGAAUAUUGGACAAUGGGCGCAAGCCUGAUCCAGCCAUGCCGCGUGAGUGAUGAAGGCCUUAGGGUUGUAAAGCUCUUUUGUCCGGGAAGAUAAUGACUGUACCGGAAGAAUAAGCCCCGGCUAACUUCGUGCCAGCCGCCGCAGUAAGAC
rnacentral:rRNA from 1 species